AGAUUGAACGCUGGCGGCAGGCCUAACACAUGCAAGUCGAACGAACUCUUCGGAGUUAGUGGCGCACGGGUGCGUAACGCGUGGGAAUCUGCCCUUGGGUUCGGAAUAACAGUUGGAAACGACUGCUAAUACCGGAUGAUGACGAAAGUCCAAAGAUUUAUCGCCCAGGGAUGAGCCCGCGUAGGAUUAGCUAGUUGGUGAGGUAAAGGCUCACCAAGGCGACGAUCCUUAGCUGGUCUGAGAGGAUGAUCAGCCACACUGGGACUGAGACACGGCCCAGACUCCUACGGGAGGCAGCAGUGGGGAAUUUGGACAAUGGGCGAAAGCCUGAUCCAGCCAUGCCGCGUGCAGGAUGAAGGCCUUCGGGUUGUAACUGCUUUGUACGGAAC
rnacentral:rRNA from 1 species